AAUCCUAUUUACUUUUCAACUAUAAAAGUUGAAUGUUUUGACUAGAAGCCUGUUCUUGGUUUUCUCUCUCUGAUAUCUUUUGUUAAUCACUAUAUGUCCUUUGUAAGAGAUGAGGUAGGGAUCCUGUUGAUGCUAGCCUUUUUACCCAUACAGUUCAGAUUUUUUUCCCAAGAGUCUGGAGCAUGCCCCUGAGACUGAGCUUCAGAAAGCUGGAUUCCAUUCAGACUUCUGAGAGUUGUAUGUCUCUGGGUCUCGUGGCACCAUAUAUCAGAAAACCCUUCAGAAACCUGGGAGUUCUCUGUCAGUCACAUGUGAAGUUUGUGAAGCUACUCUGGAAUUUUAAACGCCUUCUGCUUAGGAACAAAUGGGACUAGUAAAGCCAUGGAGUAAUAAUCAGAAUAGGGUCACCGUAUAAAGAUCUGCUUGGAACAUGAAACUUUAAGUGAAGCCUGUACGUGUUUGUUUGAAGAAGUGCUUCAGAGUAAAAAGUGGACAAAGUGUGGAUUAAGGCCCACAGAAGGAAAAGGCUGCAGUUCUAAUAUUAAUUACUUUUACAUAAUUAAAUGUUUCUUAUUUUGUUCAGUGGCUGCGAGUUCAGUCUGUCUUCGCCAAAGUUUAAAAUCUAAUUUUAUAGUUUUGGUUCUUCUCUGGUGUACUGCAAGUAUACGUUAUGUGGUUUUUUUUUUUCCCUUUUCUUUUUUCUUUUUCAACUUUCCAUGAUUGGGAUAGUGCUCUGAAGGUGAUGUUAGUUAUUUUGUUAAUUGUGGAAGGUUGGAUGAUGGUUAGAGAAACAAUUAAGAGAGCUGAAAUGCCUUUCAUUGCUACAGUACAUGGAAAACACUAGGAAAUGUCCACCUUUCUUAGACUUUGAUGUUAGGCGUGUUGGCAAUCUGAUACCAGUUUUGUAACUGUAGGUUAUUAACCAAACUGGAUUAUUUCCAUAAGGUU
rnacentral:lncRNA from 7 species